GCAUUGGUGGUUCAGUGGUAGAAUUCUUUUCUUCCAUAUAGGAGACCCAGGUUUGUUCCCAGCCAAUGCA
rnacentral:tRNA from 1 species